CGCGCUCCUGAGCACUCGUGCAACUCGGCUACUGUAAUCUUAUGAUAGAGCCUCGGACCCCAUUCCUGAAUAUCUACACAUCGGGCAGACUGCGACCGGCUCGGGAUAGGGAAAGUUCAUGCAAGGAUACCGUCAGUAAGGGCCGAAACUUGCAAGGAGAAGCCGCGUUUUGUUGAACAACAAGCGCGAGUGAGAGAAUAAAAAUAAACUGUGUGAAGAAGAAGAAACUUUUUCAAACUUUGAGGAGAGCGGUGUGAAGAUUUGAAAAACAACCCUGGACCACUACAACGUCAUGGUUGGGGAGACAGAGGUAAAAGAGAGACCAAAGUCCAGCCCGGACUACUUAAUGCAGCUCAUGAAUGAUCGGAAGGUGAUGAGUUCCCUCCCCAACUUCAGCGGCAUCUUCACGCACCUGGAGCGGCUUCUGGAUGAAGAGAUCGGCCGCGUACGCAAGGACAUGUACAUCGACACGAUGAGCGCGGGCCCUUCGGACGGCCGUGACAGCGAGGAGCUGCCCGACGGCAUCGGCCCCGUGGCCCAGCUGCAGGAGAAGCUGUACGUGCCGGUGAAGGAGUACCCGGAUUUCAACUUUGUGGGAAGGAUCCUGGGGCCACGCGGCCUCACCGCCAAACAGCUGGAGGCUGAGACCGGCUGCAAGAUCAUGGUCCGAGGGAAGGGCUCCAUGAGGGACAAGAAGAAGGAAGAAAUGAACAGAGGCAAGCCCAACUGGGAGCACCUCAGUGAAGAGCUCCAUGUGCUGAUCACGGUGGAGGACACGCACAACCGUGCCCAGAUCAAACUCACGAGGGCCACGGCAGAGGUCAAGAAGCUGCUGGUGCCUGCUGCCGAGGGCGAGGACAGCCUAAAGAAGAUGCAGCUGAUGGAGCUGGCCAUCCUGAAUGGAACCUACAGAGAUGCCAAUCUCAAGCAACCCACAAUGGCGUUCUCCCUAGCGUCGCCUCAGGCCCGUCAAAUCAUCACCCAGCACCCCUCGCAAGUCAUGCAGCAGGCCCUCCGAAACCCCUCCCCCAUGAACGGGCCCACCCUGAUGCCCCUCCUGCGUCAGAUCCAGAGCUCCGCCCUCAUGCAGGGGGGCAGUCCGCACCCGGCGCUGAUGCAGCAGGGGCCCGAGUCCGGCAUCAUCUACACCCCCUACGAGUACCCCUACACCCUCACGCCCUCCAUACUGGAGUACCCCAUGGACACCAGCGGAGUAUUAGGUAUGGCUUUCCCAACCAAAGGCUAGGCAAUAGCAAUACACUUUUUACAUGGACUGGCCCGCAGAAUACCCCUACAUUUGCGCCCCACCAAAACGUUUUGCUUGCACCUAUAGGAUGGCUGAUUAUGUUGACUGCUCUGAUUUGAUCCAUUCCUAUACGAUUUUGUUGUUUAUCCUGUUGAUUUCUUCUAUUUAUUAGCCCAUGUGCCGACUAGUGUUGUGGUGUGAUAAUAUAAUAUGUCUAACUAGUUAUUUUUUUGAUAAUAGUUCAGCAUUUUCCUUGUACUCCUAACACGCUAUCGUUAGAGUUUUAGAAAUGUGUGCUCCGUAGAUUGUGACUUUGUCUGAAAUAGAAUCCAAUGAGAGUAGGCUAACCUUGAGCGCCAAGGUUUUAUCCACCAGUCAGCCGUAGAAGAGAGAACCUCCUAGUUUAAACUUGUAUGUAUCAUUUAUACGUAGCAACACAUGAGAACAGACUAGAAAUCUAGAUGACAUAUCCCCUACUUUUUUUUCUACCCGUAAUCGAAAUAAUUGUGUAAAUGCCUGGUUUACGGCAUGUUGUUGUUAUGUUGUUGUUGUUGCUGUGGGGCAAGUGUUAGACAAGUAACCUGCUGUGUUCUGUUUCAUGGCCCUGUGUCAUUUGCGCUGUAAGCAGGUGCCAUGACCACUAAGGUACGACGCCACGACAUGAGAAUCCAUCCUUACCAAAGGGUAAUGACCACAGACAGAGCUGCCACGGCAACUAACCCAUGACCCUUGACCUUCUGACCUUUCUGCCCACUGAUGACCCACCCAUCUCUGCCUGCUGGGCGUUUUCAUUGGCCAAUGGCCCUGCCACUCGCCCCGACAUCCCAACUAGAGACCAGCAUAAUGGGAACAACGUGCCGGCUCCUUUCUAACCAGCCAACCCUCAAGGACUUCAUGGGAAUGAACCUCUAAGGAACCGACUCACCCUAACCAAAUGUGCCUUCCUUCCGAAAGUCCACCCUCCAACUGUUGAUCCAGAAAUCUGUCACCUUUGGUGUAAAAAAAACAAAAAGCAAUCUGUUUUUCCAAUCGUCUCUGUUUAUGACCGUAGGUCUCCAUGGUGACUCGUCAUAAUCAAGUGCAGGGCCUCUACGCUUCCAAGCUUCUGUAAAAACGUUUUCUGUUUUCACCCUGAUCAGGAGAUUUAACGCCACCCUCUGAUUUGCACUCAACUGUCGUUACUCCCAAUGAUGAAAUUGACAAUAUUAACAGAAACAAUAACCUUACUGAAAAUGUUACUUAUUUAUGAAAGUUAAACCAGCAACACUAGGGGAUAUUUCUGAUGUUUUGGAUGUUUUUUAUUUUGUAUUACUCAGGACCAUAGCACCUACCAUUGGUCUCUACAUAUGUUUUGAAUCUACGACAAAAUAAUUGACUGUUGGCAUACGUUGCCUUUCCCAUUGAUAUUAGGCUUUUCAAGAAAGUGCUAUCGUUUGAAUAUGCUAUCAAACUGUUUUGUGAUUAUGCUAGCGCCUAGUGCAGCACCUUUCCAACACACUGUGAUAGGAGUUUCAGAAAAGAGAAAGAAAGUAUACAAAUGGUUUCCCUAAAUAAGCACUCCUAAGUAAGAACAACUACUACCAGAAUGCAUCUCUGUCCCCUUUCACAAAUCUCACUUCUUAUUUUAGGGCAUACAAUGACAAAACUUCAGAUUCUGUACACAACAUUUGAUAGGUCUUGCACAAAUGUAUGCUUCCACUGCCUUGGUCACACACACAUACACACACACACAUUUACACACACUAGGUGAAAAUAGCAGUCCAAUUUGUGAUGAUUUGGUAGCGUCAGUAUUUCUAUAACAAUGACGCCUUUGACAUUAUCGUACUAAAUUGUACUAGCCUGAGCAACAGUGCCUCUAUGUAUGAACAGGGAUGGAAAAAUGUUACAUGUAGAUGUGUUUUUACACUACAUGAGUUUCAUGUGCAUCGUGAAAGAGAUAGUAUUGCGUUUCAAUGCAAGUUAAUUGGAUUAAAGUACGCAUUUAGUUACAGCCUCACUAUCUAACUAUUUUGGUUGCCUACAUUACAAAAGAUGUCAUUAUCUCAGUGCCAAAAUGGAUCAAUGGAUGGGUUUACUGCAGUAUUUACACAGCUGCCUUAUCAAUAUGUGUCAUUGAGCUGCAGUUAAAAACAUGUUCAGUGGACCUGGGGCCUCUUUGGAUCAGUAUUAUAUUUGAGUUAUUUUUAAUGGAUUUGUGUUGUGUAAUUUGUUUGCUUUGUCUAUAGGAGAUAGACAUCUCUGGAUGCUUAUUUUGCAUGUGUAUCCACUUUUCAGAGACGCAAAAAAACGUGCUUUGGUUCCGGUUGUGUUUUCUCUUGUAAGGGACGCCCUUCUCGUCCCAUUCAAUGCACAAAAAGCCAACCGAUGCCUGAAAUAAGUCAGAGUCAUUGCGUAACAUCUGUAACAACUACAUCAUGUAUUUUUAUAUUCUAUUUUGUACGUGAAAAUGACAUUAAAUUAACUUUUUUCCUACAAAAACUAUAUGCCCUAUAAUGGAGAAUAAUUUGAUAGCCAUUACUGUUUUUCUAUUUUGUUGUAUCCUUCAUCUCUUCGACUGUUGAGUGGUUCAGGAGGUUUCCGUGACCUCGCACUGUCCCCACUGUCCUGAUAUACUGGAGGUCUUUCUGAUCGGUCGCUUCCCCCUUGUGCCUUUUGUAUGUAAGUGUGAUCAUUAACAAUGCAGUAUGGAACAUUAAUCUACUGUGGAGCCACAUGUCGGAUACAACUAACCAUGUCUCUUCACUUCUGUGACUAUUAACCAAGAUAAUGAUAGCUGUCUGCUUUGGUUUCCUUUAAGAUUCAAAUUUUGUGUGUGUGAAGAAAAAAACAAAACAAGAUGUGUGUUAAACCAUGAUCUUUUAACUUUUUUUCUGGUUUUAAGAGUAGGAAUAACUUUUUGUUGUGCUGGAAAGCUGUUCAGCCCUCUAUUAAACUGAUGAGUUGUUCAACUAA